UACGUAGGUGACAAGCGUUGUCCGGAUUUACUGGGCGUAAAGAGCGCGCAGGCGGUCGUUCAAGUCGAGUGUGAAAGCCCCCGGCUCAACUGGGGAGGGUCACUCGAUACUGAUCGACUCGAAGGCAGGAGAGGGUAGUGGAAUUCCCGGUGUAGUGGUGAAAUGCGUAGAUAUCGGGAGGAACACCAGUGGCGAAGGCGACUACCUGGCCUGUUCUUGACGCUGAGGCGCGAAAGCUGGGGGAGCAAACGGG
rnacentral:rRNA from 1 species